AUGGGGGCAGCAGCAGCAGCACUGGUUCUAGUCAUGGCUGGCCUCUUGGGAGCUGCAGCUGCCAGUGUAGGCGACGAGUGUUCGACGACGACGAGUGUUGGCUGCGGUGCCGGGCAGUGGUGCUUCGACUGCGAGCCGAAGCUCGCCGGCUCCCACUGCGUCCGCUCAGCCGCCACCAACCCCUUCCAACUCGUUAAUAACUCGUUGCCAUUCAAUAAGUACGCCUACCUCACGACGCACAAUUCAUUCGCGAUUGUUGGGGAACCGUCGCACACCGGAAUUCCACGCAUCACCUUCGACAACCAGGAGGAUACAGUCACCGAUCAGUUAAAGAAUGGUGUUCGCGCGCUAAUGCUCGACACAUAUGACUUCAAAGGAAGUGUAUGGUUGUGCCAUUCCAGUGGAGGCAAAUGCAACGAUUUUACUGCAUUUGAACCGGCAUUGGACACAUUCAAGGAAAUUGAGGCGUUUCUUUCUGCCAAUCCAUCUGAAAUUGUUACGUUGAUCCUGGAAGACUAUGUUCACGCGCCAAAUGGCCUGACGAACGUGUUCAAGGCCUCUGGUCUGCAAAAGUACUGGUUUCCGGUGUCGAAUAUGCCAAAGGAUGGUCAGGAGUGGCCUCUUGUCAGCGAAAUGGUCACAAGCAACCAGCGCCUCCUUGUGUUCACCUCUGCCAGAUCGAAGCAAGUCACAGAAGGAAUCGCAUACCAGUGGAAUUUCAUGGUUGAGAAUAAUUAUGGCGACGAUGGAAUGGAUGCUGGCAAAUGCUCAAACCGUGCAGAGUCCGCGCCGCUCAACGACAAGACCAAGUCACUGGUCCUCAUGAACUACUUCCCAUCUGUCCCAAUGAAGCCGACUGCGUGUUUGCAGCACUCCAGGGGCCUCACUGGCAUGUCUAACACAUGCUACGGCUCAGCUGGAAACCGAUGGGCUAAUUUCAUCGCAGUUGAUUACUACAAGAGAAGCGAGGGAGGGGGCGCGUUCCAAGCCACCGAUCUGCUCAACGGCAUGCUCCUGUGUGGAUGCCAGGACGUCAAGGCUUGCCAGCGAGGAUCUAGCGUAGUAUGCUCUACCUGA
rnacentral:rRNA from 1 species